rnacentral:misc_RNA from 1 species
AAAAUGCGACACUUGGUGUGAAUUGCAGAAUCCUGUGAACCAUCAAGUCUUUUAACGCAAGUUGCGCCCCAAGCCUUCUGGCCGAGGGCACGUCUGCCUGGGUGUCACAAAUCAUCGUCCCCCCAUCCUCUCGAGGAUAUGGGACGGAAGCUGAUCUCCCGUGUGUUACCGCACGCGGUUGGCCAAAAUCCGAGCUAAGGACGCCCAGGAGCAUCUUGACCUGCGGUGGUUAAUUCAAUUCUCGCCAUAUAGUCAGACGUUCCGGUCCAAAAGCUCUUGAUGUCCCAAAGUCCUCAAUGUGACCCCAGGUCAGGCGGGAUCACCCACUGAGUUUAA